GACGAACGCUGGCGGCAGGCUUAACACAUGCAAGUCGAGCGCCGUAGCAAUACGGAGCGGCAGACGGGUGAGUAACGCGUGGGAACGUGCCUUUUGGUUCGGAACAACUCAGGGAAACUUGAGCUAAUACCGGAUAAGCCCCGAGGGGGAAAGAUUUAUCGCCAAAAGAUCGGCCCGCGUCAGAUUAGGUAGGUGGAGGGGUAACGGCCCACCAAGCCGAUGAUCUGUAGCUGGUCUGAGAGGACGAUCAGCCACACUGGGACUGAGACACGGCCCAGACUCCUACGGGAGGCAGCAGUGGGGAAUAUUGGACAAUGGGCGCAAGCCUGAUCCAGCCAUGCCGCGUGGAUGAAGAAGGCCCUAGGGUUGUAAAGUCCUUUCGGCGGGGACGAUAAUGACGGUACCCGCAGAAGAAGCCCCGGCUAAUUUCGUGCCAGCCGCCGCGGUAA
rnacentral:rRNA from 1 species